rnacentral:rRNA from 1 species
GAAAGUAAGUAAGGGCGUAUGGGGGAUGCCUAGGCUCUUGGAGGCUAAGAAGGACGUGGUAAGCUGCGAAAAGCUGCGGGGAUUUGCAAACGAGACUCGAUCCGCAGAUAUCCGAAUGGGACAACCCGGCAGGUAGAAGACCUGUCACACCGCGAGGUGAGCUAACCCUCUGAACUGAAACAUCUAAGUAGGAGGAGGAAAAGAAAGAAACAUCGAUUUCCAAAGUAGCGGCGAGCGAAAUGGAAGAAGCCCAAACCGAUAUUGUUACGGCAAUAUCGGGGUUGUAGGACUGCAAUAUUCAAUUAACAAUGAACUGGAAUGGUCUGGAAAGUCCAUCCAUAGAGAGUGAAAGGCUCGUACAGGUAAGUUUGUUAUGCGAAAGCAGUAUCCUGAGUAUGGCGGGACACGAGGAAUCCUGUCAGAAUCAGCCGGGACCACCCGGUAAGGCUAAAUACUCCCAAGAGACCGAUAGUGGACCAGUACUGUGAAGGAAAGGUGAAAAGAACCCCGAACAGGGGAGUGAAAUAGAACCUGAAACCAUACGCUUACAACCGGUCGGAGCAGUUUCGUGCUGUGACGGCGUGCCUAUUGAAUAAUGAGCCUACGAGUUACUAAUCACUAGCGAGGUUAAGUGCAAGGAUGCACGGAGCCGAAGCGAAAGCGAGUCUGAACAGGGCGUUUAGUUAGUGGUUGUAGACGCGAAACCUUGCGAUCUACCCUUGAGCAGGUUGAAGGUUGGGUAAAACCAACUGGAGGACCGAACGAAUAAGCGUUGAAAAGCUUCUCGAUGACUUGAGGGUAGGGGUGAAAGGCUAAUCAAGCUGGGAAAUAGCUCGUACUCCCCGAAAUGCCUUUUGGGGCAGCGUUGUAAUAAAGAGUCUACUGGAGGUAGAGCUACUGAUUGGAUGCGGGGGCUUCACCGCCUACCAAAUCCUGACAAACUCCGAAUGCCAGUAGUAUGAUUUACAGCAGUGAGUGACUGGGUGCUAAUGUCCAGUCGCAAAAGAGGAACAACUCAGACCAGCAACUAAGGUCCCGAAGAAUAUGCUAAGUUGAUCUAACGAUGUUUUGUUGCAGAGACAGCUAGGAUGUUAGCUUGGAAGCAGCUAUUCAUUCAAAGAGUGCGUAACAGCUCACUAGUCGAGCGACAGAGCGUGGAUAAUAAACGGGCAUCAAGCAUAUCACCGAAGUUCUGGGCGCGAGAGCGCGGUAGGGGAGCAUUCCAUUCAGCGUCGAAGCAGUUUCGUGAGGAAUUGUGGAGCGUAUGGAAAAGCAAAUGUAGGCAUGAGUAACGAUAAUGCGGGAGAGUAACCCGCACACCGCAAGACCAAGGUUUCCUGAUCAACGCUAAUCGGAUCAGGGUUAGUCGGGUCCUAAGGGUAAGCCGAACGGCGAUCUCGAUGGAUAAUCGGUUAAUAUUCCGAUACUGACAUAUACCUCGAUGGAGAGACGAAGGAACGUAAGUGCCGCCACCUGACGGAAUAGGUGGUUAAAGGGCGUAGAUAUAGGGGCAGAUUAAGAGUUAGUCCUUGCUGAAACCUGACAGUACAGAGAGCCUACGGGCAAUUUGAUAGAGCACCCAAGUCGACUUCCGAGAAAAUCUUCUAAGUUAUAGUAUAUGUUACCCGUACCGUAAACCGACACAGGUGGUCGAGGAGAGUAUCCUAAGGUGCUCGAGUGAAUCACGGUUAAGGAACUAGGCAAAUUAACCCCGUAACUUCGGGAAAAGGGGUCCCUAUGAAAGUAGGGCGCAGCGAAGAGGUCCAGGCGACUGUUUAUCAAAAACACAGGGCUCUGCAAAUUCGAAAGAAGACGUAUAGGGCCUGACACCUGCCCGGUGCUGGAAGGUUAAGAGGGGAUGUCAUCGCAAGAGAAGCAUUGAAUCGAAGCCCCAGUAAACGGCGGCCGUAACUAUAACGGUCCUAAGGUAGCGAAAUUCCUUGUCGGGU